UACGGAGGAUCCAAGCGUUAUCCGGAAUCAUUGGGUUUACAGGGUCCGUAGGCGGUUUUGUAAGUCAGUGGUGAAAGCCCAUCGCUCAACGGUGGAACGGCCAUUGAUACUGCAAGACUUGAAUUAUUGGGAAGUAACUAGAAUAUGUAGUGUAGCGGUGAAAUGCUUAGAGAUUACAUGGAAUACCAAUUGCGAAGGCAGGUUACUACCAAUAUAUUGACGCUGAUGGACGAAAGCGUGGGGAGCGAACAGG
rnacentral:rRNA from 1 species